rnacentral:rRNA from 1 species
GAGGAAUAUUGGUCAAUGGGGGCAACCCUGAACCAGCCAAGUCGCGUGAAGGAUGAAGGUCUUAUGGAUUGUAAACUUCUUUUACACGGGAAUAAAGUGGGGGACGUGUCCCCCUUUGCAUGUACCGUGUGAAUAAGGAUCGGCUAACUCCGUGCCAGCAGCCGCGGUAAUACGGAGGAUCCGAGCGUUAUCCGGAUUUAUUGGGUUUAAAGGGUGCGCAGGCGGGAUGUUAAGUCGGCGGUGAAAUUUUGCAGCUCAACUGUAAAAGUGCCUUUGAUACUGGCCUUCUUGAGUGUGGAUGAAGUAGGCGGAAUUUGUGGUGUAGCGGUGAAAUGCUUAGAUAUCACGAGGAACUCCGAUUGCGCAGGCAUCUUACUAAGCCACAACUGACGCUCAUGCACGAAGGCGUGG